rnacentral:rRNA from 1 species
UACGAAGGGGGCUAGCGUUGCUCGGAAUCACUGGGCGUAAAGGGUGCGUAGGCGGGUCUUUAAGUCAGGGGUGAAAUCCUGGAGCUCAACUCCAGAACUGCCUUUGAUACUGAGGAUCUUGAGUUCGGGAGAGGUGAGUGGAACUGCGAGUGUAGAGGUGAAAUUCGAAGAUAUUCGCAAGAACACCAGUGGCGAAGGCGGCUCACUGGCCCGAUACUGACGCUGAGGUGCGAAAGCGUGGGGAGCAAACAGG